CACGUAGGGUGCGAGCGUUGUCCGGAAUUAUUGGGCGUAAAGAGCUCGUAGGCGGUGUGUCGCGUCGGCCGUGAAAACCUGCAGCUUAACUGUGGGCUUGCGGUCGAUACGGGCAUCACUGGAGUUCGGCAGGGGAGACUGGAAUUCCUGGUGUAGCGGUGAAAUGCGCAGAUAUCAGGAGGAACACCCGUGGCGAAGGCGGCUCUCUGGGACGGUACUGACGCUGAGACGCGAAAGCGUGGGGAGCGAACAGG
rnacentral:rRNA from 1 species